rnacentral:rRNA from 1 species
UAGGAAUAUUCGUCAAUGGGGGAAACCCUGAACGAGCAAUGCCGCGUGAGUGAUGACGGUCCUUUGGAUUGUAAAACUCUGUUGUAAAGGAAGAAUCGCAAAGAUAGGAAAUGAUCUUUGUUUGACGGUACUUUACCAGAAAGCCCCGGCUAACUACGUGCCAGCAGCCGCGGUAAUACGUAGGGGGCGAGCGUUAUCCGGAUUUAUUGGGCGUAAAGCGUGUGUAAGCGGUUUGUUAAGUCUGAAAUAAAAGCCCGAGGCUCAACUUCGGUUCGUUUCAGAAACUGGCAGACUUGAGUGUGGUAGAGGCAAGUGGAAUUUCUAGUGUAGCGGUAAAAUGCGUAGAUAUUAGAAGGAACACCAGUGGCGAAGGCGACUUGCUGGGCCAUUACUGACGCUGAGACACGAAAGCGUGGGGAGCAAAU